rnacentral:lncRNA from 10 species
UACUUAUUUUACGUAUUUAUUGAUCACUAUAAUCUCUGAGUAUUGUACAUUUAAAUGUCUAUCCUACAGGUUGACAAAUAUGCUAAAAUAAGAUGCAUUGAUGUCAGCCUAAAGUGCAAAUGUGCGUGAAUAAUCAGUUUGAUAUAAUGCCAGAAAUAUCAAAAUGUAGUACAGAACACAGUAUCUCCGAAUACUAUUGCAUAUUCAACGCCAGGAUGAAAAUAUUUUGCAUUUAAAUAUUGCCUGUUUUAAUCACAUUACAAAUUUAAACAGUUUUAGUUGUGACAGUUAUUUGUUAAGAAUUAGCCUUAGUCGUUUUUAUUCAAACCAGAAUUCUAUCUUCAGCAUCUCUGUAGGUUGUAGAGCAUUGACCACUAGGGGGCAGACGUAACCAAGCCAUUUAAUAAGUUUCUUUCCUUCUUUAAAUUUUGAAUUUAUUUGAGAUAUAUCCUCUUGAAGUCAAAAGAAAACUGCAUACUUAAAUAAGAAAAGGAAAACCCUGAUACCAAUUUAUAAUUCAACUUUCAGUCUUUCAUUUUCUUAUGAGCUACCACGUCUUAUCUUUAUUUUCAAUUACGAUAAAAUUAAAUUUACUCAAGAAAGACAUAGUAAGUUAUCAGUUUGUUGUUAUACAGGAUUGGCAAUGUCCAUUGGCACUUGAGUUUGUUUUUCUAAGUGAAGGCACCAGCAAUCUAGUUUAUACGUAUUACCUAAUUUCAUUCUUACAACAUAGCUUUGAAUUCAGUACUGUUGUCAUCCUCAUCUAUAGAUGGAGAAACUAGAGACUUUUAGAAGCUCACAAAUUAUCAGGCAGAGUAGGAAUUCAGACAGAGUUUUGCCUAAUUUCAAAUUUUGUGUAGAUAUAACUUCUCACUUUUUUCUGUUUUAAUUAUAAAAUAUACAAUACAUGCAGAAAAGUAAUAUAUAUAUACAUAUACACAUACACACACACACACACUCUUCUUAAAAAUAAUUGUAAAACAAAUGCCCAUUUCACCACUACCCUGUUCAAAACAAACAACAUUUUUAGCCCCUAAAGAAGCACCCGGUAAGUCCCUCACUGUUCACAACUCCUUCCCCUUGAAAGGUAAACACCAUCUUCAUCUUUAUAAUCAUUCUUCACUUUCUUUUAUUUAAAACCUUUGUGAGAUUUCUAUAAAUCUAUUCAUAAUGUAUUGAAUCAUUCAUGCCUUUCUCCUUCGGGUUGAUGUUUUAUUUGUAAGAUUCAUGUACAUUGCAGUAUAUAGUUCUUUAGUUUUUGUUGCUACAUGAAAUAAAAUGCUCUAUGUAAUAUACCAUGAUAAUAUAUUCUACUAUUGAUGGCAUGUGAGUUGUUUCCAGUUUGGGACUAUUAUGAACAAGGUUACUGCAAAGAUUAUAUAUAUAUAUAUAUAUAUAUAUAUAUAUAUAUAUAUAUAUAUAUAUACACACACACACACACACACACACACCAAGAUAGAUAGAUAGAUAGAUAGAUAGAUAGAUAGAUAGAUAGAUGAUAUGCAAAAAGUUUCCCUAAGGUGUAUGACUAAGAGUCAAAGAGCUAGCUCAUCAGGUCUGCAUAUCAUCAACUUUACUGGAAACAAUGCAAAUGUCAGUUAACAGAUAAAUUAAUAAAGAAAUUAUAGUAAAUACAUACAGUGGAAUAAUAGCAAUAAAAAGAAAGGAACUAUUGAUCGAUGCAACAACAUAGAUGAAUUUCAAAUAUUCAGGCUGCGUAAAAGAAGUCAGGUUUUGUUUUUUGUCUUUUUGUCUUUUUUCUUUCCAACAUGGCAGAUGUGAGGCAUUGUUAGCAUGCCUCUUCCACUUGGAAAAACAAAAUAGUGUGUAGAGAUUCAUACUGUGAAAUUUUUCCAAAAAGCAACACAGAUAAUUAACAGGAAAACUGAAACAAAUCACAGACCCUUUGAAAGAAGUGGCAGGCUGCAGCCUACACCUGAGCCAGGUGGAGUUUUCAGAGUGUGAGAAGUCACAGAGUGUGAGAAGGGGAGAGACUACCUCUGGGAGGUAAAGUCCCACCGGGAAACCUGUCAAUCAGGGCGAUGAGGGAAGGCCUUAACCCCACCCAGCUCUGGAGCUGAUUUAGUGAGCGGUGGGAAGUAUAUGAGAAAGAGCAGCAGCAAGACAUGCUUUGCAUGCACACCCAGUCUCCAGAGGGGACAGAGAGAAGCUAUUCCUGAUUGUACCUCACAGGGGGCCUUGUGGAAGUUGGCCAGCUAACUCAGGUGGCAGUCAGGUAGAAAAAAACGCCCAACUGAGAUUUGCAAUAUAAUCUGGAGUGGGGAUGAAUCUCCUCGACUAGAACCAAGGGGCUAGCGGGAAGUGUGCUGUAGUUAUAGGCACAGGAGCUGGUUGUCCCUGCUUCACAGGCUGACUGAAAAGGCAUGGCCUGAAAACCAUAUUUUAUUUCUCCCUUUGCUACAGUAGGUGGGUAGUCAGACAUGAGCAGGAAAAGAGAGGGCUCCCUCGACUUACCAGGAAUGCCAGGAGACCAUCAAGUGAUGGUCCAGCAGUUGUCACACUGCCUCUCCUAAAUGAUCAUUGGCUGCAGCCAGUGCCAUGGAGAGGCAGUUUUCCAGUAGAUAAAAACACCUAAAAUUGAUAAUCAGCAGCUUCCUAUAAGAUCUCAGGAACUGGGCAAGUGGGCUCGUGCAUGCUCAUUAAGAGGCAAAAUGGCGGAGAAUGACUUUCCAGGGGCAUCCCACCAAAAAAGGGAAGAAAGACUCGUGAACAUGCGUACAAACUCCAGUAAACUACACAUGCUCACCUCCCAAGCACAAGCAGGGUAGCGCUAUGUGGGCAUCUCACCCUAAGGGAAGAAUGAAGGGGAAGGAGCACAAGACACCGAAAAUAGGCCCACAUAUAAAAUCCUAGGUUCAAGUUUAAACAGGGCACUUGACCUCCAAGAUGCCUGCUUGGGUCUCUUCCAAGUGUACUUUCCUUUCUUUCCUGCUCUAAAGCUUUUUAAUAAACUUCCACUCCUGCUCUGAAACUUGUCUCGGUCUCUUUCCGCCUUAUGCCCCUCAGUUAAACUCUUUCUUCUAAGGAGGCAAGAAUUGAGGUUGCUGCAGAUCUAUGGAGAUUCGCCACUGGUAACUCGAAUAAUUUCUGCCUGUAACAUAUUUUGGUGCUGUGACUUGGGUACCUUCCACCGCUAAUACCUGGGGAAAGCUUAUGGCCUGAGGCAGCUUUGAGUUCUGAGUGCAGACUGCCUGGAACCUAGCUACUGCUAGUGAAACACUGCAGGUAUAAGACUUGCCUUUCUACAUGGGGCUUACUGUUGCCUGCUACUCCCAAAUCCCCAUGUGGAUUCUUCUGUGCAGCAGAGGCGGCUGGGUUCCUCCCUAGAACAUUACCCCACCAACCAGAAAACUGCCUAAUGAUCCCUACUGGGGCCACUGCUUGCUGGCGAAAAGCCAGAGCAUAAGACUUUCCUGACCCAGCCCCAACCUGGCUUGCCCCUCCACCCGCUCUGGUAGCUUCGCACAAAAGACAGAAACUUUUGGGAGCUCUAAGGCCCCACCUAUUGCCUGAGACUCCAGAGUAUAUCCCUUGGGUAACAUAAGGCAAGCAUGAAUACCACUGCUACCAGCGCAGCUCUUUUGCAAGUGCCACCUCCUGGCUGGAAGCCAAAUGACAGUCCCUGACAACAUUUGCAGGUAGAAUAGCACAGUGCCCAGGAAAGAGAAAACUUGUGAGUGAACCCAGCUAUCACAAGUGCCUGCAUCGCCUUGGCUAAUCAGAAGGUCCUGAGUCUGUCUAUUUUACCAGUUCAUUACUACUACAGCUGUCACUUGAGAAAGCUGACCCACUAAGGCUAUUAACAAGGAAUCUCACCAAGUCUAUGGCACUCCCUUGCCACCUCCAUCAGAGCUGGUGCUAGCAGCUGCUGCUGGGAGACUUGAGGAUAGGUCACAUCACUACAUCCCUUGCAGACAUUCCCCAACACCAGCCUGGUGUGCAGCAGCCUCACAGGGUAGCUAGACCCCGAGGAGUAGCAGCAUUCACAGUACUCUGACUGGCAGGGACUCCUGCUCCUAGGGAAAGGGAGAACAUACCACAUUAAGAGAACACCCUGUGAGACAAAAGAAUCCAGACAGCAGGGCUUGAGUCCCAGAACUUUCCACUUGCGGGAAGUUUCUUUCAGCAGAGGCACAGCUGGAGCUUCUCCCACAGGAGCUUGGCAUG